rnacentral:rRNA from 1 species
GACGAACGCUGGCGGCGUGCUUAACACAUGCAAGUCGAACGGAAAGGCCCUGCUUUUGUGGGGUGCUCGAGUGGCGAACGGGUGAGUAACACGUGAGUAACCUGCCCUUGACUUUGGGAUAACUUCAGGAAACUGGGGCUAAUACCGGAUAGGAGCUCCUGCUGCAUGGUGGGGGUUGGAAAGUUUCGGCGGUUGGGGAUGGACUCGCGGCUUAUCAGCUUGUUGGUGGGGUAGUGGCUUACCAAGGCUUUGACGGGUAGCCGGCCUGAGAGGGUGACCGGCCACAUUGGGACUGAGAUACGGCCCAGACUCCUACGGGAGGCAGCAGUGGGGAAUAUUGCACAAUGGGCGGAAGCCUGAUGCAGCAACGCCGCGUGCGGGAUGACGGCCCUCGGGUUGUAAACCGCUUUCGCCUGUGGCGAAGCGUGAGUGACGGUAAUGGGUAAAGAAGCACCGGCUAACUACGUG